CAGUCGAGCGGAACGAGUUGUCUGAACCUUCGGGGAACGAUAACGGCGUCGAGCGGCGGACGGGUGAGUAAUGCCUGGGAAAUUGCCCUGAUGUGGGGGAUAACCAUUGGAAACGAUGGCUAAUACCGCAUAAUAGCUUCGGCUCAAAGAGGGGGACCUUCGGGCCUCUCGCGUCAGGAUAUGCCCAGGUGGGAUUAGCUAGUUGGUGAGGUAAUGGCUCACCAAGGCGACGAUCCCUAGCUGGUCUGAGAGGAUGAUCAGCCACACUGGAACUGAGACACGGUCCAGACUCCUACGGGAGGCAGCAGUGGGGAAUAUUGCACAAUGGGCGCAAGCCUGAUGCAGCCAUGCCGCGUGUAUGAAGAAGGCCUUCGGGUUGUAAAGUACUUUCAGCAGUGAGGAAGGUGGUAGUGUUAAUAGCACUAUCAUUUGACGUUAGCUGCAGAAGAAGCACCGGCUAACUCCGUGCCAGCAGCCGCGGUAAUACGGAGGGUGCGAGCGUUAAUCGGAAUUACUGGGCGUAAAGCGCAUGCAGGUGGUUUGUUAAGUCAGAUGUGAAAGCCCGGGGCUCAACCUCGGAAUUGCAUUUGAAACUGGCAGACUAGAGUACUGUAGAGGGGGGGUAGAAAUUUCAGGUGUAGCGGGUGAAAUGGCGUAGAGAUCUGAAGGAAUACCGGUGGGCGAAGGCGGCCCCCUGGACAGAUACUGACACUCAGAUGCGAAAGCGUGGGGGAGCAAACAGGAUUAGAUACCCUGGUAGUCCACGCCGUAAACGAUGUCUACUUGGAAGGUUGUGGCCCUUGAGCCCUGGGCUUUUCGGAGCUAACGCCUUUAAGUAAACCGCCCUGGGGGAGUACGGGUCGCCAGGAUUAAAAACUUCAAAUGAAUUUGACCGGGGGCCCGCCCCAAGCGGUUGGAACCAUGUUGGUUUUAAUUUCGAUUGCAACGCCGAAAAAACCUUAACCUACUUCUUGGACAUCCCAUAAGAACUUUUCCAGGAAAAUGGGAUUGGUUGGCCUUUCCGGGAACUAAUGGAAAACAAGGUGCCUGCCAUGGGCUGUUCGUCCAACC
rnacentral:rRNA from 1 species